rnacentral:rRNA from 1 species
GGACUACCCGGGUAUCUAAUCCUGUUUGCUCCCCACGCUUUCGCGUCUCAGCGUCAGUAUCUGCCCAGAGAGCCGCCUUCGCCACUGGUGUUCCUCCCGAUAUCUACGAAUUUCACCUCUACACCGGGAAUUCCGCUCUCCUCUUCAGUACUCCAGCUCCGUAGUAUCCAGUGCACUUCCAGGGUUGAGCCCUGGGCUUUCACACCGGACUUGCAAAGCCGCCUACACGCGCUUUACGCCCAGUAAUUCCGAGCAACGUUUGCACCCUCUGUCUUACCGCGGCUGCUGGCAC